rnacentral:rRNA from 1 species
ACGGAAGGCAGCAGUGGGGAAUAUUGGACAAUGGGGGAAACCCUGAUUCAGCGACGCCGCGUGAGUGAAGAAGUAUUUCGGUAUGUAAAGCUCUAUCAGCAAGGAAGAAAAUGACGGUACUUGACUAAGAAGCUCCGGCUAAAUACGUGCCAGCAGCCGCGGUAAUACGUAUGGAGCAAGCGUUAUCCGGAUUUACUGGGUGUAAAGGGAGCGUAGACGGCAAAGCAAGUCUGAAGUGAAAUCCCGGGGCUCAACCCCGGAACUGCUUUGGAAACUGUUUAGCUAGAGUGCAGGAGAGGUAAGCGGAAUUCCUAGUGUAGCGGUGAAAUGCGUAGAUAUUAGGAGGAACACCAGUGGCGAAGGCGGCUUACUGGACUGUAACUGACGUUGAGGCUCGAAAGCGUGGGGAGCAAACAGGAUUAGAUACCCUGGUA